rnacentral:tRNA from 1 species
GCGUCAUUGGUCUAGGGGUUAGGAUUCAACUCUUCCAUUCACAGGUCAAGUUGAGGCCCGGAUUCGAGUUCCGGAUGACGCA